UACAGAGGUCUCAACCGUUGUUCGGAUUCAUUGGGCGUAAAGGGUGCGUAGGCGGUCGCGCAAGUCGGAUGUGAAAUCUCAGGGCUCAACCCUGAAACUGCAUUCGAUACUGCGUGGCUAGAGUGCUGGAGAGGAGACUGGAAUUUACGGUGUAGCAGUGAAAUGCGUAGAGAUCGGGAGGAACAUCAGUUGCGAAGGCGGCUCUCUGGACCAGUACUGACGCUGAGGCACGAAAGCGUGGGGAGCAAACAGG
rnacentral:rRNA from 1 species